rnacentral:piRNA from 1 species
UGCUCUAGGAUGCAGCCUCAGGCCUG